UUUUUUAUUUUGAUUGACAUUAUUUGACAUCAGUGUUGUGAGAUUUAUCUGAUUUUAUUUAUAAUUUAGGCUUUAAGAGCCUUACAGCUAAAUAUUGUUUUACUGAUUGCAGGUUUUUCUGUUGUUGUUUUUAUUAUUGAAUAUUUACUGUGAUGUGCCUGCAAAACUUUUACAUGUUUUUGUCUAAAUUAGGUGAUUUUAUUAGAUCACAAAUGCCCCUUUUCCCUCGGCCCGGCUCGGCUCAGCUUGGCCCGGCUCGGCUCAGCUCAGCUUGGCCCGGCUCGGCUCAGCUCAGCUUGGCCCGGCCCGGCUCAGCUCAGCUUGGCCCGGCUCGGCUCAGCUCAGCUUGGCCCGGCCCGGCCCGGCUCGGCUCAGCUCAGCUUGGGUUAGCAGAACUGGACCUGGUUCUGUCAGAUGUUUCGGGUCUCAAAGCGUUCCUCGGUUCUCUCUGACCGGUGGAGCCUUUCAGAGAUGGAACACCUUCCAGAACCAGAACCAGAGGUGGUCCAAUUGUGUUUGGAUCACCCGGACCUCGAUCUGACUCUUCAAACCGUGGAUCUGUUUAAAGGGUCUACUUGGGUCAGAACCAGAACCUUGACCUUAAAUUCAAAGAGUCCAGCAAACAGACUGGAUCCCAGUUAGAACCGGAGCAGCUGGCGACUAUGAAUUCAAUAAGUAGUUAAGCGCAUGAAUCUCUUUUUUCCGACACCAUUGAAGGCAACACAAUGUAAGCUGCUGAGUAGCGGGAAGUGCGAGGCAGCAGCAUCCAUAUGGAUAUUAGUGACUCAUCCUGCGCCACUGCUGUUCAUUGGUCAGGAAAAUACCACAAUCACGCAAAGAAUCUGAAAAAUAGACUCAAUAUUUAGCGGCUAAUUCAACCGUAUGACAGACAUAGAUAACAAGGUUCAAGGGUUUCACAUUUAAUGGGUGAGGAAAAAGUUUUGAUUUAUUGAAAAAGUGAGCAGUGAGCUAGUUAUGCUAGGCUAACUUGCUAGCUGCUAUUGACUCUGAUAACCGUAACAUGCUGCGCAGUUCGCUGUGUUUUGGUUCCGUUAGCACUAAAACAGGACAAGCUGCUCACCAAGUCAUCAGUAGAGCAGGAGUUUAAAUCAGCUAAUCUGUGUUCAGGCCAAAAUAGAUUAAUAAUCACAAUAUAGACAUCAAGCCUGACAGCAUAAUGUAACAGACUGGAUGUUCUGUUUGGUGGUUCUGAUACUUCUUUGUGUGGGAAACGUUAGUUUCUGGUAUUGAUUCCCCUGAUAGGUUUGAACGUAAUCUCUGCUUUAUCUGCUGGUUGAGCUGUUGUCUGUCGGUUGCCAUGGCAACAGGUCCGCGUAGCGUCAUGCCGACACAGAG